GUCAAAUGUGCAGCCUCUUAUUGCCUUUAAAGGGUUGUAUAGAAAAGUCAAAUAAGGCUUUAAAAACGACUGACAAUCAUUGCCACCAGUUUGGUAUAAAGGUACUAGCACGCAAUUUGAUACGAUACGAAACCAUAUUCUCCUCUGACGUUGAUAAUUUGCAAGUAAAAUAAUGAAAUAUUUCCUAUGCUAAUCACUAAACUGAAACUCAACCUCUACAGCGUGUUAUUAGUUGGCAAUUAAUUCCUUUGACCUAAUUUGGCUAAAGGGGGUUAAAUUUUUUAUCUCUGUAGCACUACUUAAAGGAAAAAAUUGAAAAAGAAACAAGUCUGCCUUUGACAAAAGAAAACAUCGAGGACAAUCUUCUGCAGCUUCGUGUUUACUACGGAAAUAUGGAUUACAUUCUUGUAGAGGAAACACUAAAAUAUGGUUUUGAAGACCUCAUAUCAGAUAUCGGAGGGCAGAUGGGAAUGUGGAUUGGACUGUCAGUGCUUACUAUUGCAGAGGUCGUCGAAUUAGUAUGGAAACUGCUGUCCUCCUUGUGAAAAUAAGAAAUGCAAAGAGCAAGGCCGUUUUUAAGUCAAACGAACUUGCAACGUUUGAAAACAGACAGAAUUGACAGAACUGUCGAAUCUUCUUUACUGGUUCACCUUAACCUAAAUAAAUCGAAAUGACAGAACAUUGAAAAACAGAAUUAGCCCAAGUGCAAGUUUUCAGUGACUUUGGAGAACACAAGGACAUUUGCGGUACAAGUUGUAUUGACAUUUUUAAGGUUUUUGCUAUCUUACUUGGUCCUCAUUAUAACUUCUACAAAAUUCCUAACUCUUAUAUAGUCAGCCUAUUAGCUCAUGAAAGCGCGCGUUAUAGAAUGCGGGUCGCGCACGUAAUUUGAGUAGAAACAAGAAACUUCGCCGUUCCAGUUAAAAAUGUACGCUGUUUUCGAAAUAGAGCCAAACCCCAAAAAACUUUUCAAGCUAUACAACAGAAGAAAUACCUAAAAUKGUUACCAACAAAGACUUUGACCACACAAACGAGAGACAAAAACAGGUGUGGCGACUUACUAGAAUUCAGUAAAGAUACAGGGAGAGAUUUCUUGUCAAUUUCUCGGAAGAAAUGCCAAUGGAGGAGUUGAGUGAGCUUCCAAUUGCAUUUUGCGCAAAUGUACGUUUUGGUCUAAACAGAUAUUUACGUCCAGGCGAGAAGUCUAACUGUCGACCUUUAAUGCAAAUUACACGUUAAUGAUUUUUAUUGAUGAUUAAUUUUUGAUUUGUGUAUAUUUAUAARCAUUUUUUUGCUGUGGUAAUUUUAAGCUUUUUUCUUCCUUAAACGCAUUUAAAUCAUAUYAAUAAUUUUAUACAGUAAAAGU